rnacentral:tRNA from 1 species
UAGCUCAGUCGGUUAGAGCGUGGUGCUGAUAACACCAAGGUCGCGGGUUCGAUCCCCUU